rnacentral:rRNA from 1 species
UACGUAGGGUCCGAGCGUUGUCCGGAAUUACUGGGCGUAAAGAGCUCGUAGGUGGUUUGUCGCGUUGUUCGUGAAAAACUCACAGCUCAACUGUGGGCGUGCGGGCGAUACGGGCAGACUUUGAGUACUGCAGGGGGAGACUGGAAUUCCUGGUGUAGCGGUGGGAAAUGCGCAGAUAUCAGGGAGGGAAACACCCAGCGGGCGAAAGGGCGGGCAUCC